GGGUCGUUAGCUCAGUCGGUAGAGCAGUGGACUUUUAAUCCAUUGGUCGAAGGUUCGAAUCCUUCACGACCCA
rnacentral:tRNA from 1 species